rnacentral:rRNA from 1 species
GACGACGCUUGCGGCGUGCCUGAGAAAUGCAAGUCGAGCGGGGUGUAGCAAUACACCUAGCGGCGAACGGUCGAGUAACAACGUAAGCAACCUGCCCUGCAGGUGGGGGAUAACAGCGGGAAACUGCUGCUAAUACCGCAUAGGCAUUAUUUCGUGGGCAUCCAGGGAUGUGUAAAGGCUAGACUGCUGCAGGGAGGGGCUUGCGGCCUAUUAGCUAGUCGGUGGGGUAACGGCCUACCGAGGCGACGAUGGGUAGCUGGUCUGAGAGGAUGGUCAGCCGGAUCGGGACUGAGACACGGCCCGGACUCCUACGGGGGGCAGCAAUCAGGAAUAUUGCGCAAUGGGGGAAACCCUGACGCAGCGACGCCGCGUGCGGGAUGAAGGCCUUCGGGUCGUAAACCGCUGUUGUGGGAGACGAAUGACUGUCGAUGAGGCAGUGGAGACGGUAUCUCACGAGGAAGCCCCGGCUAACUACGUG